rnacentral:rRNA from 1 species
AACGAACGCUGGCGGCAUGCCUAACACAUGCAAGUCGAACGAGACCUUCGUGUCUAGUGGCUCACGGGUGCGUAACGCGUGGGAACCUGCCCUUAGGUUCGGAAUAACUCCCCUACAUGGGUGCUAAUACCGGAUAAUUUCUUCGGACCAAAGAUUUAUCGCCUUUGUAUGGGCCCGCGUUGGAUUAGCUAGUUGGUAGGGUAAAAGCCUACCAAGGCUACGAUCCAUAGCUGGUCUGAGAGGAUGAUCAGCCACACUGGGACUGAGACACGGCCCAGACUACUACGGGAGGGAGGAGUGGGGAAUAUUGGAAAAUGGGCGAAAGGCUGAACCAGUAAUGCCGCGUGAGUGAUGAAGGCGUUAGGGUUGUAAAGCUCUUUUACCCGGGAUGAUAAUGACAGUACCGGGAGAAUAAGCUCCGGCUAACUCCGUG